UUAUAGCACCCUACACACCAUCCUGGGAGUAUUAAUGGGUUGUACUCUCUCUAUAUAUCAUGAACUUCUCCAGAGGACUCACUCAUUCAACUAUGAAUUUGGAUUAAGGCAUUGUUCUGGGCUUUGGAUACAGCAGAGAACAAAGACAGAGUCCCUGCCUUCAAGGAGCUCGCAUUCUCGUUGGGGACACAGGCAGUGAACACAGGGUGGUACACCAGUGACAGGCAUCAUCUGAGACAUCAUCUGUCUUGUGAAGCCUUCUAUGACCUCAGGAUGUCCCCACCCCCAUACCGGCUGUGGUCCCACAGCUCCCUCUACUUUGACUGUCUGUUUGGUUGCCUGUUUUCUCCGUUGGAUUCUGGGCAGCAG